rnacentral:rRNA from 1 species
AGUGAACGCUGGCGGUAGGCCUAACACAUGCGAGUCGAACGGCAGCACAGUGAGAGCUUGCUCUUACGGGUGGCGAGUGGCGGACGGGUGAGGAAUACAUCGGAAUCUACUUUUUCGUGGGGGAUAACGUAGGGAAACUUACGCUAAUACCGCAUACGACCUACGGGUGAAAGCAGGGGAUCUUCGGACCUUGCGCGAUUGAAUGAGCCGAUGUCGGAUUAGCUAGUUGGCGGGGUAAAGGCCCACCAAGGCGACGAUCCGUAGCUGGUCUGAGAGGAUGAUCAGCCACACUGGAACUGAGACACGGUCCAGACUCCUACGGGAGGCAGCAGUGGGGAAUAUUGGACAAUGGGCGCAAGCCUGAUCCAGCCAUACCGCGUGGGUGAAGAAGGCCUUCGGGUUGUAAAGCCCUUUUGUUGGGAAAGAAAAGCAGCAGGUUAAUACCCCGCUGUUCUGACGGUACCCAAAGAAUAAGCACCGGCUAACUUCGUG